rnacentral:rRNA from 1 species
GAAUAUUGGGGCGUAAGGGCUCGCAGGCGGUUUCUUAAGUCUGAUGUGAAAGCCCCCGGCUCAACCGGGGAGGGUCAUUGGAAACUGGGAAACUUGAGUGCAGAAGAGGAGAGUGGAAUUCCACGUGUAGCGGUGAAAUGCGUAGAGAUGUGGAGGAACACCAGUGGCGAAGGCGACUCUCUGGUCUGUAACUGACGCUGAGGAGCGAAAGCGUGGGGAGCGAACAGGAUUAGAUACCCUGGUAGUCCACGCCGUAAACGAUGAGUGCUAAGUGUUAGGGGGUUUCCGCCCCUUAGUGCUGAAGCUAACGCAUUAAGCACUCCGCCUGGGGAGUACGGUCGCAAGACUGAAACUCAAGGGAAUUGACGGGGGCCCGCACAAGCGGUGGA